GGAAAACGCAUGCGCAUGGGCGCGGUGGUGGGGGGAGCGUAUGGCGAAGAGAGGAAAGAGAAAACAGAAAAUUGUUGUUGUUCCAAUGUGCAUCUGCUAUUGUGUUACCCCGUCACUUGCAAGAAGACAUGUCCUUUUAGCAUACCAACAUAUUCUUUACAGCCAGGAAGGAAACAUAUAUCUGACGAUAUUCGGAACCAAUCCCAUGAUUAUCCACAUAAAGUUGCAAAGUAUACAGAAAAUCGAAAUCGAAACAGAUACAGAGAUGUUAGCCCAUAUGAUCACAGUCGUGUGAUACUACAGAACACAGACAAUGAUUACAUUAAUGCAAGCAUGGUGGUUAAUGAAGAAGCUCAAAGAAAUUAUAUUGUAACACAAGGUCCACUUCCCAAUACAUGUUGCCAUUUUUGGCUAAUGGUAUGGCAACAAAAGACCAAAGCAGUUGUCAUGCUGAACAGAAUAGUUGAGAAGGAUUCGGUAAAAUGUGCACAGUACUGGCCAGCAAAACAAGAGGAACUAAUGAUGUUCAGCGAAACAGGAUUUUGUGUGAGGCUAAAAUCUGAAGAUGUAAAAUCAUACUAUACAGUACGUCAGCUUCAGCUAGAAAAUACCAAUAUUCAUGAAUCCAGGAUUAUAUUCCAUUUUCAUUAUACUACAUGGCCAGAUUUUGGAGUUCCUGAAUCUCCAGCAUCAUUCCUCAACUACUUGUUUAAAGUGAGAGAAUCUGGAUCCCUGAAUCCUGAGCAUGGACCUGCAGUCAUUCACUGUAGUGCUGGAAUAGGGCGCUCUGGUACAUUUUUAUUGGUAGACACAUGUCUUGUUUUGAUGGAAAAAAGAGAAGAUCCAUUUUCUGUUGACAUUAAGCAAGUAUUAUUAAAUAUGAGAAAAUAUCGAAUGGGACUUAUUCAGACCCCUGAUCAGCUAAGAUUUUCAUAUAUGGCUGUAAUAGAAGGAGCAAAAUAUAUAAUGGGUGAUUCUACAAUACAGAAUCGGUGGAAGGAACUUUCAAAAGAGGACCAAGCAUCAAGUUCUGGACAUUCUCCUCCAAAUCUAACUAAACAACCAACCAAGAAAUACAAUGGGAGCAGUGUGGGAUUAGAAAAUCAGGAGCAAACUGAGGAUAUUAUAGAUGCUGAGUUGUCUUCUACAGUACAAAAUACUGCUGAUACAAAUGCUGACAUUGCUUUUCGGAAACGGCUGAGAGAGGACAGAAAAGCUAACACAGCACAGAUGGUGCAACAGAUGAAACAUAAGCUGAGCGAGGUUGAAAAAAAAAGGAAAAGGUGGUUAUAUUGGAAACCUAUUCUGUUUAAGAUUGGGUUUGGCACAGCCAUUUUCAUUGGAAUUUAUACUUGCUGGAAAUUGUACUUAAAAGACACUCCUGUGAGUACUUAGUGCAGUCCUGUGUCUAGUAAUACAAGUUAAUAUACUAAACCAGUUCACACUACAAUACACUAAUUUCAGUGGAGCUUGAAGUGAGCAGUAUGAGUAAAGGAUUGCCACCAUAGUUUGCAGAACAAUGUGCUGCUAGUUCAUCUGUGAAAAUAUGACUUGCUGCAUCAAACUCAUACAUCUGAAAUUAAUGCAGUAGUACUGAAAUCUAAUGCACAGCACAAGAGUCCAUGAUCACUAUUCACUGUCUCAGGACUCUGCACUGCAGGUACUCUUGAAAUGAAAUUGCUAUCUGGAAUAACAUUGUGUACACUUGCAAAAUAAACUAAUACACAUUUCCAGCAACUACGUAUAUAGUACUUAAAUGAUAGACCACUAGAUCCAAUAGUGCGUUGGACUGUAGUGGCCUCAGUCUAUCCAUUCGCAUAUUUGACAUAAGCAAUAAACAGUGUUGUGUCAUACUAUGAAUGCGAACAGUCAAUAUUCGUGUGUGUAACAUACUAUCAACCGUUUAUACUAUCUUAACUUAGAAUAGUACAUUUUAUAACUUAUAUUUACUCUUUGUAGAUAAUUGUAUUUUUACAAGCUACGUUUGUACAAAUUUCAAAAAGAGUAUGCAUUUAAGUAGUUACCAUCUCUAACGUUUCAAGAGUGAUCUAGAUAUCCACCGACUUCAUUCUUCAUUCAGUGAUUAGUGAAUUGCCCCUUGUGAGCAGAUAGGGCUACUUCUCAGUUUCUUCUUUGCCGAGAGUGACCGACACCUAAACCUUCAAGACUUGUGAAUAUUCUGCAGCUAUAAAUUGCAUACUAUUGGCAUGCAAAGCAGGACAUGAUCCCUCUCCAGGAACAAAAGUGAGGUCUGAGCAAUACCCAGGUGGCCUCAUAAAUAUCUGUUUACAACGUAAACAACCAGGGAAUGAAGUACACCACCAGCAAGAGUUUUUGCAAAAUAAAGUAAUUUGUCUUAAGUGUUUUAUGCUUGUAUCAACUGUAGAGAGAUGUAAGAGAUCACAUUAGAAAAUACUUUGUAAUGCCAUUCUUAUGUAUUUUUUUAUACUUUUGGCAGCAUUAAAUAUUUUUUUAAAUUGA